rnacentral:rRNA from 1 species
GUUAAAACACCGCUUCCCGUACGAUCACCGAAGUUAAGCAACGUCUAGCCUGGUCAGUAGCUAGAUGAGUAACCGCUUGAAAAUAUCAAGUGGAUG